rnacentral:rRNA from 1 species
GAUGAACGCUGGCGGCGUGCCUAAUACAUGCAAGUCGAGCGAACGGACGAGAAGCUUGCUUCUCUGAUGUUAGCGGCGGACGGGUGAGUAACACGUGGAUACCCUACCUAUAAGACUGGGAUAACUUCGGGAAACCGGAGCUAAUACCGGAUGAUAUUUUGAACCGCAUGGUUCAAAAGUGAAAGACGGUCUUGCGGUCACUUAUAGAUGGAUCCGCGCUGGAUGAGCUGGUUGGUAAGGUAACGGCUUACCAAGGCAACGAUGCGUGGCCGAACUGAGAGAGGGGUAGGCGGCACGGGAGCGGGACCGGGGACAAGAGGCCUACGGGAGGGAGCAGUAGGGAACCUUCGGCAACGGGGGAAAGCCUGACAGAACAAGGCGGAGUGAGAUGUGAAGGUGCUCGGUGCGUAAAACCCGGUUAUUGGGGAAGAACAGCUUUGGACUGAACCGUGCAGUUCGUGACGGUAACUAAUAAGAAAGCCACGGCUAACUACGUG